AUUGAACGCUGGCGGCAUGCCUUACACAUGCAAGUCGAACGGCAGCACGGGAGGCAAUCCUGGUGGCGAGUGGCGAACGGGUGAGUAAUAUAUCGGAACGUGCCCAGUAGUGGGGGAUAGCCCGGCGAAAGCCGGAUUAAUACCGCAUACGACCUGAGGGUGAAAGCGGGGGAUCGCAAGACCUCGCGCUAUUGGAGCGGCCGAUAUCAGAUUAGCUAGUUGGUGGGGUAAAGGCCUACCAAGGCUACGAUCUGUAGUUGGUCUGAGAGGACGACCAGCCACACUGGGACUGAGACACGGCCCAGACUCCUACGGGAGGCAGCAGUGGGGAAUUUUGGACAAUGGGCGCAAGCCUGAUCCAGCAAUGCCGCGUGCAGGAAGAAGGCCUUCGGGUUGUAAACUGCUUUUGUCAGGGAAGAAAUCUUCUGGGCUAAUACCCCGGGAGGAUGACGGUACCUGAAGAAUAAGCACCGGCUAACUACGUG
rnacentral:rRNA from 1 species